AUUGAACGCUGGCGGCAUGCUUUACACAUGCAAGUCGGACGGCAGCACAGAGAAGCUUGCUUCUUGGGUGGCGAGUGGCGUACGGGUGAGUAAUAUAUCGGACCGUACCGAGUGAUGGGGGAUAACUAAUCGAAAGAUUAGCUAAUACCGCAUAUUUUCUGAGGCGGAAAGCUGGGGACCUUCGGGCCUUGCGUUAUUCGAGCGGCCGUUAUCUGAUUAGCUAGUUGGUGGGGUAAAGGCCUACCAAGGCGACGAUCAGUAGCGGGUCUGAGAGGAUGAACCGCCACACUGGGACUGAGACACGGCCCAGACUCCGACGGGAGGCAGCAGUGGGGAAUGUUGGACAAUGGGCGCAAGCCUGAUCCAGCCAUGCCGCGUGUCUGAAGAAGGCCUUCGGGUUGUAAAAGACUUUUGUCAGGGAAGAAAAGGCUGGUGCUAAUAUCGACAGCUGAUGACGGUACCUGAAUAAUAAGCACCGGCUAACUACGUG
rnacentral:rRNA from 1 species